rnacentral:SRP_RNA from 1 species
GCCGGGGAGAUAGCGGUGCCCUGUACCUGCAAUCCGCUACAGCAGGGGUGAUGCCUUGCCCCGGACGCUUUGUUGCGAUGCCGGCUUUGAUAAGUGAUGUUGACGCUUUGGUCUUGCGCAACGGAAAUUCGUGAACCGUGUCAGGUCAGGAAUGGAGCAGCACUAAGCGAAACCUUCCGUGUGCCGUAAGGUUGCCGGAGCCGAGUUAACUGUCAGAGUAACGAUUGUGACGGGCGUUCAAAGCAGGGCGCACG